UACGUAGGGGGCAAGCGUUGUCCGGAUUUACUGGGCGUAAAGAGCGCGCAGGCGGUCGAUCAAGUCGAGUGUGAAAGCCCCCGGCUCAACUGGGGAGGGUCAUUCGAUACUGAUCGACUCGAAGGCAGGAGAGGGUAGUGGAAUUCCCGGUGUAGUGGUGAAAUGCGCAGAUAUCAGGAGGAACACCGGUGGCGAAGGCGGGUCUCUGGGGCCGAUACUGACGCUGAGGAGCGAAAAGCGUGGGGGAGCGAACAGG
rnacentral:rRNA from 1 species